UACGAAGGGGGCUAGCGUUGUUCGGAAUCACUGGGCGUAAAGGGCGCGUAGGCGGCCGAUCAAGUCGGGGGUGAAAGCCUGUGGCUCAACCACAGAAUUGCCUCGAUACUGGUUGGCUUGAGACCGGAAGAGGUAAGUGGAACUGCGAGUGUAGAGGUGAAAUUCGUAGAUAUUCGCAAGAACACCAGUGGCGAAGGCGGCUUACUGGUCCGGUU
rnacentral:rRNA from 1 species